rnacentral:rRNA from 1 species
CAGGCUUAACACAUGCAAGUCGAGGGGCAUCUGGGGUAGUAAGCUUGCUUACUACUGCCGGCGACCGGCGCACGGGUGAAUAACACGUAUGCAACCUGGCCGUCACAGAGGGAUAACCGGGACAAAUCCCGCCUAAUACCGCAUAAUACCGGGGAAGGACAUCCUUUCCCGGUCAAAGGAGCGAUCCGGUGACGGAUGGGCAUGCGCCGCAUUAGUUAGUUGGCGGUGUAACGGACCACCAAGACGACGAUGCGUAGGGGUUCUGAGAGGAAGGUCCCCCACUCUGGUACUGACACACGGACCAGACUCCUACGGGAGGCAGCAGUGAGGAAUAUUGGUCACUGGGCGAGAGCCUGAACCAGCCAAGUCUCGUGAGGGAAGACGGCCCUAUGGAUUGUAAACCUCUUUUGCCGGGGAGCAAAAAGCGGUACGUGUACCGCAUCGAGAGUACCCGGAGAAAAAGCUUCGGCUAACUCCGUG